rnacentral:rRNA from 1 species
GAUGAACGCUGGCGGCGUGCCUAAUACAUGCAAGUCGAGCGAACAGACGAGGAGCUUGCUCCUCUGACGUUAGCGGCGGACGGGUGAGUAACACGUGGAUAACCUACCUAUAAGACUGGGAUAACUUCGGGAAACCGGAGCUAAUACCGGAUAAUAUAUUGAACCGCAUGGCUCAAUAGUGAAAGACGGUUUUGCUGUCACUUAUAGAUGGAUCCGCGCCGCAUUAGCUAGUUGGUAAGGUAACGGCUUACCAAGGCGACGAUGCGUAGCCGACCUGAGAGGGUGAUCGGCCACAAUGGAACUGAGACACGGUCCAGACUCCUACGGGAGGCAGCAGUAGGGAAUCUUCCGCAAUGGGCGAAAGCCUGACGGAGCAACGCCGCGUGAGUGAUGAAGGUCUUCGGAUCGUAAAACUCUGUUAUUAGGGAAGAACAAAUGUGUAAGUAACUAUGCACGUCUUGACGGUACCUAAUCAGAAAGCCACGGCUAACUACGUG